AAUGAACGUUGGCGGCAUGGAUUAGGCAUGCAAGUCGCGCGCGAAACGUAGCAAUACGUGGAGAGCGGCGAAAGGGAGAGGAAUACGUGGGAACCUACCUCGGGGCCUGGAAUAGCGGCGGGAAACUGCCGGUAAUGCCAGAUAACGUCUCCGGACCAAAGGUGUGAUUCCGCCUGGAGAUGGUCCCACGUCCUAUCAGCUUGUUGGUGUGGUAAUGGCGCACCAAGGCUAAGACGGGUAUGGGGUGUGAGAGCAUGCCCCCACUCACUGGGACUGAGACACUGCCCGGACACCUACGGGUGGCUGCAGUCGAGAAUCUUCGGCAAUGAGCGCAAGCUUGACCGAGCGAUGCCGCGUGCGGGAUGAAGGCCCUCGGGUUGUAAACCGCUGUCGUAGAGGAGUAAUGGUCAGGGGGUUCUCCCUCUGAUUUGAACAAUUCUAGGAGGAAGGACGGGCUAAGUUCGUGCCAGCCGCCGCGGUAAAAC
rnacentral:rRNA from 1 species